AGUGAACGCUGGCGGUAGGCCUAACACAUGCAAGUCGAACGGCAGCACAGUAAGAGCUUGCUCUUACGGGUGGCGAGUGGCGGACGGGUGAGGAAUACAUCGGAAUCUACUUUUUCGUGGGGGAAACGUAGGGAAACUUACGCUAAUACCGCAUACGACCUACGGGUGAAAGCAGGGGAUCUUCGGACCUUGCGCGAUUGAAUGAGCCGAUGUCGGAUUAGCUAGUUGGCGGGGUAAAGGCCCACCAAGGCGACGAUCCGUAGCUGGUCUGAGAGGAUGAUCAGCCACACUGGAACUGAGACACGGUCCAGACUCCUACGGGAGGCAGCAGUGGGGAAUAUUGGACAAUGGGCGCAAGCCUGAUCCAGCCAUACCGCGUGGGUGAAGAAGGCCUUCGGGUUGUAAAGCCCUUUUGUUGGGAAAGAAAAGCAGCAGGUUAAUACCCCGCUGUUCUGACGGGACCCAAAGAAUAAGCACCGGCUAACUUCGU
rnacentral:rRNA from 1 species